rnacentral:rRNA from 1 species
GAUGAACGCUGGCGGCGUGCCUAAUACAUGCAAGUCGAGCGAACGGACGAGAAGCUUGCUUCUCUGAUGUUAGCGGCGGACGGGUGAGUACCCGUGGGUAACCUACCUAUAAGACUGGGAUAACUUCGGGAAACCGGGGCUAAUACCGGAUAAUAUUUUGAACCGCAUGGUUCAAAAGUGAAAGACGGUCUUGCCGUCACUUAUAGGUGGAUCCGCGCUGCAUUAGCUAGUUGGUAAGGUAACGGCUUACCAAGGCAACGAUGCAUAGCCGACCUGAGAGGGUGAUCGGCCACACUGGAACUGAGACACGGUCCAGACUCCUACGGGAGGCAGCAGUAGGGAAUCUUCCGCAAUGGGCGAAAGCCUGACGGAGCAACGCCGCGUGAGUGAUGAAGGUCUUCGGAUCGUAAAACUCUGUUAUUAGGGAAGAACAUAUGUGUAAGUAACUGUGCACAUCUUGACGGUACCUAAUCAGAAAGCCACGGCUAACUACGUG